UGUCCAGGGGCGGGAACCGAACCCACAACCUUCCGCUUACCGGGCAGAUGCCAUGUCCACUAGGCUAAAAAUUGCUGGAA
rnacentral:tRNA from 1 species